rnacentral:rRNA from 1 species
AACGAACGUUGGCGGCGUGGAUGAGGCAUGCAAGUCGAACGUGAAAACCUUCGGGUGAGUAGCGUGGCGGACGGGCGAGUAACACGUAAUCAAGCUACCUGCUAGACGGGGAUAACUUCGGGAAACCGAUCGUAAGACCCGAUGGGCUCACGACACCGCAUGGUGAUGUGAGUAAAUGGACGGGACCCUCCGGGGCCGUCUGCUAGUGGAGGUGAUUGCGGCCCAUCAGCUUGUUGGUAGGGUAAUGGCCUACCAAGGCUACGACGGGUAGCCGGCCUAAGAGGGUGGCCGGUCGCACUGGGACUGAGACACUGCCCAGACUCCUACGGGAGGCUGCAGUCGAGAAUCUUCCGCAAUGGACGAAAGUCUGACGGAGCGACGCCGCGUGCGGGAUGAAGGCCCUUGGGUUGUAAACCGCUGUCAGAGGGGAUGAAAUCUCCGGGGGUACUCCCCCGGAGUUGACAGAGCCUCAAAGGAAGCACGGGCUAAGUACGUGCCAGCAGCCGCGGU